rnacentral:rRNA from 1 species
GACGAACGCUGGCGGCGUGCUUAACACAUGCAAGUCGAACGGAAAGGCCCUACUUUUGUGGGGUGCUCGAGUGGCGAACGGGUGAGUGACACGUGAGUAACCUGCCCUUGACUUUGGUAUAACUUCAGGAAACUGGGCCUAAUACAGGAUAGGAUCUCCUGCUGCAUGGUGGGGGUUGGAAAUUUGCGGCUGGUGGGGAUGGACUCGCGGCUUAUGAGCUUGUUGGUUGGGGAGUGGCUUACCAAGGCUUUGACGGGUAGCCGGCCUGUGAGGGUGACCGGGGACAUUGGGCCUGCGAGAGGGCGCAGUGUCGAACGGGAGGCAGCAGUGGGGAAUAUUGCACAAUCGGAGCAAGUCUGAUGCAGCAACGCUGCGUGCGUAAUGACGGCCUUUGGGUUGUAAACAGCUUUCGCCUGUGACGACGCGUGAGUGACGGUAAUGGGUAAAGAAGCACCGGCUAACUACGUG